ACAUAUACAAUAUUAAAAGGAGUUUGAAUAUCCAUAUAUCCUCAUUGGCUGUAUAAUAUACGAUGUCUGUCAAUGUCAACAUAACGUGUCAUUCACCAAAACGUAGUUUCAGUAAUAAUUGAAAAUGUAGCGAUUCUUAGGAAUAUGGAAUCAUUUCACGAUGUAAACCUUACUGGGUGAGUAAUUCCAUAAUGUCGUGGUGCCCUCGCGAUUCAAUGAACGGAAGUGUAUGUUCAUAGGUUGCAGGUUCGAACCAAGUGUUAUAGGGCCUUCACAGCAAGAUAUAAGGCCACUGUAAUAAGGGCUACCAAUGCGAUAUUUUCAAAGUUGAUGUGUGAUAAAGGGCAGGAGUGCGGCAGCAAGGCGUGGAGUUUGCAGGCAGCAAAUAAAAGAUACAUGCCAAAUAUAAGAUGGCAUUUGUGUGGAUAUUCGUCUACGGUGUUGUUGUUUGCGGUAUAUUGAAAUGGCACGACGCAAUGAAAUUCGAAACUCUGAAAGAGUUCUGUUCAAAAUUCAAGUGUUUGGUGGAUGAGCUGUCCGUGUACUUCGAGCCAUGCGGCUUCCCAAUCGAGCUGGUCGCGAGGUUCUGUAUGGAUACAUUGCAGCAAAUAGGCUGAACGCUUACCUCGCCAUGACAGAAGACAUUUCGUUGUAACUAGACAUACGGAUCCCAAUUAAUUUAGUAAACAUGGUUACAGUGAAAACGAAUCCUGCACAGCGUGCAAAUGAAAUAAAUAAAAUUGUAAAAUCAU